rnacentral:rRNA from 1 species
GGCGGACGGGUGAGUAACGCGUAAGAACUUGCCCUUUAGACUGGGAUAACAGAGGGAAACUUCUGAUAAUACUGGAUAAGUUAGUAUAUCGCAUGAUAUACAAAUGAAAGCUACGGCACUAAAGGAGAGCUUUGCGUCCUAUUAGCUAGUUGGUAAGGUAAGAGCUUACCAAGGCGAUGAUAGGUAGCCGGCCUGAGAGGGUGGACGGCCACAAGGGGACUGAGAUACGGCCCUUACUCCUACGGGAGGCAGCAGAG